UUUAUUAUUCUUCACAUUUUGGGGAAGUUUGUUAUAUUCAAUGAGGCCUUUAUAUAAUAAAAUUUUCAUGGAGUUUGAUAAACUACAUCGUGGCAGGUGAAAAUUGUCAUUUUGUCUAGUAGUGUAAUUGUGAGUGGAAUUUCUAUAAAUGAUAAAUUCUUCGAAAUAAGAAGGUAGCAUAUGAUUGGUUAUCUUAAAAAUAAAUAUCAUUGCUGACCUGUAAUAUCUUUCACGAAUAGACAUCCACUGUAAUGCACUGAGCAUAAA